rnacentral:rRNA from 1 species
UCGCAGGCUGCAACUCGCCUGCGUGAAGUUGGAAUUGCUAGUAAUCGCGGAUCAGCAUGCCGCGGUGAAUACGUUCCCGGGCCUUGUACACACCGCCCGUCACACCAUGGGAGUUUGUAACACCCGAAGCCUGUAGUCUAACCGCAAGGAGGACGCAGUCGAAGGUGGGAUUGAUGACUGGGGUGAAGUCGUAACAAGGUAAC